rnacentral:rRNA from 1 species
UGCCCNCUGAUAUAUUAUUAAAGGGCUGCAGUAAUUUGACUGUACAAAGGUAGCAUAAUCAUUAGUCAUUUAAUUGAUGACUGGUAUGAAAGAUUGGAUGAAAUAUAAACUGUCUUUAUUAUAUUUUUAGAAAUUAAUUUUUUAAUUAAAAAGUUAAAAUACAUAAAAAAGACGAGAAGACCCUAUAGAGUUUAAUUAUUUUUUAAAUAAGUUUUAUUUAUAAAUUUAUAUUAAUUGUAUUAGGAAAAUAAUUUUGUUGGGGUGAUGAAAAAAUUUAAUUAACUUUUUUUUUUUUUUUACAUAAAUAAAUGAAUUUUUGAUCCAAUAUUAUUGAUUAAAAGAAAAAAUUACCUUAGGGAUAACAGNGUAAUUUUUUUUUUUAGUUCAUAUAAAAAAAAAAGUUUGCGACCUCGAUGUUGGAUUAAGAUAAAAUUUAAAUGUAGAAGUUUAA